UUCAGGUGUCCAACAGGUGUCUGUUGUUCGACUGGUGGGCGGGGCACGCACACCUGCAGGUGGUUCAGCAGCGCCAGGGGCUGCACUAUAAGAACGGCGCAUGAACAGCGGGAGGACGCCAGAUUGUUACCGUCGUGGUUCUCCUCUCGUGAUCCUCGUUUGCUUACCUGCCGGAUUCCACCUGAGCUCCUCUGGUCCCUUCUGAGUCUGAAGCCUCAUCUCGCGGUCCAGGGCUCUUCCCGGCUUCACCUGGUUCCUCCCGCUGGCUCAGGAUCUCUGGAUCUUCCCUGGUGCUGCUCGGACCCCCACUGCUGCCCACGCCCAUCAUUCUGACGGUCACCAACCACCACCGGACAGACGCUGAGUCCGCGAUCGCCUUCCCCCCGGUCUGGGUUUCCGCACUCUGUGACCGACCCGGCACCUCUGGCUCCGCUCUCCCUCCCGUGAUACCGUCGCUGUGGCAGAUUCUUCCCGCAAACCCGUGUUUCUUUCCUUGAUCAAUAAAUCCUCGUAGAGAACACCACCUGUGUACCGAGUGCAUUCUGCAUGUGGGCAAAACACUUAAAACCAAACAUGACAGAAGAACAAUCUGGCCAAACUGACCCAACGGAUGCAUUCGGUAGGGCUUUAACGGCCCAACAGGACCAAAUUCGGGGAUUAGAAUCUACGGUACUCGGUCUUCAGAGUCAACUACAGGGUUUUUCGGCCCAGAUAAAUCAGCUGACGGGUAUGCUAAACGCCAGUCUUCAGUCAGCGGUUUCCGAGUCUCCUAGCCCCUCCCCCGGGUCCGCGUCAGCGGAGACGUCACCACCCGUCCCCGGGAUUCCCUCACCUAAUCCUGAGAAGUUCUCUGGUGACAGCGGAGAUUGUGGGGGUUUUUUAUUUCAGUGUUCCCUUGUUUUCAAUUGCUCCCCACAUUUAUACCUUCAGGAUGAUGCGAAGAUUUCUUUUAUUUUACGUUUACUAACGGGUAGAGCACUCAGAUGGGCGGAAUCCCGCUUCCCAAAUUGCCAACAGUUUGGCGUUACCUUCAGUGAAUUCCUAACCGAGUUUAAAAUGGUUUUCGCUGCCGAAUCUGAUGAGGUGCAGGAUUCUCGGCGACUCUUAGCCCUUCGGCAGCGGGGAAGGCGUGUAGCCGACUUUGCCAUAGAGUUCCGCACGUUGGC